UACGUAGGUGGCAAGCGUUAUCCGGAUUUACUGGGUGUAAAGGGCGUGUAGGCGGGACUGCAAGUCAGAUGUGAAAAUUAUGGGCUCAACCCAUAACCUGCAUUUGAAACUGUAGUUCUUGAGUGAUGGAGAGGCAGGCGGAAUUCCGUGUGUAGCGGUGAAAUGCGUAGAUAUACGGAGGAACACCAGUGGCGAAGGCGGCCUGCUGGACAUUAACUGACGCCGAGGCGCGAAAGCGUGGGGAGCAAACAGG
rnacentral:rRNA from 1 species